UUGAUAAUCGUUGUUUUAAUGUAAUAAUGUAUACAUUACAUUUAUCUCUGUAAUCUUCUUCCCUAUUUGUGGAUAUUCUCGAGUGAAAUAGUCGAGGCCUCCUACGGAACAUAUUAAGCUACACAGGAGCAGUGAUGAGAAUAAACAUGACUUUUGGUGCUCAUGAUUAAAUAUGGCAGUUUUAUUAUGAACCCACUACAUUAGAGAAGGAAAUACUGGAUGUGAAGUGUAUUAGUGCUAGUGUGUGUGAAUAGACUGUCAGUUUAGAUACUGACCCUGAACACUACUAACAUGCAGUGCUUUCUUGGAGUGGUGAUGAAGUUGGAGUUGAACCGGUAAGAAAGAUAUUAGAGAGAGGCUUCUUUACACUCCUGAGGAUGUUCAAUUAGAACCUGCACCAAACUCACCUGAUUCAAGUCAUCAGCUAAUUAAGCGGCCUGCACGAGCUGAGAUUCUUACUGAGGUGCUGUUUUCCACAUGCAGUGCUUGGCUGUGUUGGAGGCCACCAAGAAAGACUUCCUGGCUGUCAUGUGGAAGCUAAGUGGGCUGGGGUCAAAAGGGUUUCUGGCCAUGGUGCUUGUGCUGCAGUGAUCUUGUUCUCCAUCACACUCCAACACAGGUAGCCAUCUUCACCCUCUCCCAAGAGGUGAUGGUACGACUCUGAAUAAACACUCUAUUAUUAUAAAUAAAGUGUGACUGUGUCUUGUAGUCCACCCACCAACCUUUUUCUGUUCAGUGGUUUGACUUGUGCUACACAGAGGUGAGUCCAGUUAUGCUGCAAGAAGUGUAAGUAUGAUGGGGUUGACGAGUGGGAGGAGAGGUUCUUCCUGUGCAAGGUGCUGCUCUCACUUCUUUCAGCAUAGCUCCUGGUCUCAGAACAGGUUUAGUUCAUCGUUGCUGGUGUUGUGUAGAGGAUGUUAUAUUGUGAAAGUCACAACUAUCCCUGCUCAAGGUCUUGUGAAAUAUUUGACCUUAUUUGUGACUAUAUUCACCGUGAUGCUUUCAGCGGUUACUACAUUAGUGUCCUUAAUUUUUUACUAUUUAAAGAUUGUUUAAAAGUUUAUUACAGGCUCAAUGAAUGUUCUUCUCCUUCACUAGAAGAUAAAGGCCCGGUUUCACAGACAGGGUUUACAUUAAGCCAGGAUUAGGCCUUCGAUCAAUUAGGACAUUUCAGUAGCUUUUAUAAACGUGUCUUAGAAAAAUAUAUUUCUGGUGCACAUCCUGAGAUAAAACAAUGGCACUGACGUGUUUUAAGAUCCGUCCGUGCAAGUAGCUUUCAGUUAAAACAGCUCAGAUAUACAUUUUAGUCUGGGACUAGGCUUAGGCCUUGUCUGUGAAAUCAGGGGAAAAAAGAAGAAGGGUUUGCUUUUUUAUGCUCUCUACAGAAUAUGACAGAAGAAAUGUGACCCACACCUUUAACUAUAAAAAGCAGGUAGAAUUCCAGUUAGCAUGAAACCUCAAAUGUGUAGCUGGGCUGGAAAUUUAUUUUUGUAUGCAUGUAUAAUAUUUUUUCUCUUACAGAUGGACCAGCAAACAGAUUUAAAGGCUGUUGUGAAUGAUGGGUUACAGAAAUGUCUUCCUGUGUUUAUUAUUAUUUGAAGUUAUAUAUUCUGAUUUGUAAGAAAGAUUAUGAAGUCUCCUUUUGCUAAUCAUUUUAGAGCAUUAUUAAAAAGUCCAUGUACACAAUGUUUAUCCCGAGUGCCUUUUUGAUGUAUUUUAUUAUCCUGCACAAAGCAAAAACACAAUUUGUGUGUAGAUGCCCCUCGUAAAUAUUAACAUAGUAAGAGCAAAUGGACAAGUGAAACUAAUCAAUAUAAAAUCUCUAAAGAAGGGCAUGAUGGUACUGAUUUUCUCUUCACACACAUGGUAUGCACGUACUUGGAGUAAAUUUUAAUGAACAGAAUAUGGGUUCUAUUCAGUACUUGACAAAUGAUUCAGUGCGGAUCAAAUGUGAACAAAUGAGCCAUGAAUGUAUCUGUGUUCUAUAUAAUAUCAUUUUUAAGUGGAUUUUUAAAUGACAUUAAAACCCUAGCCAGGCUGCACUGGGUUUUUUUUUUAAAUUUUUUUUUUUUUAAGAGUAGGACACAUUCAUCCAUCCAUUUUUCCUACACAGAGUCAAGACUCACAGGGGACUCAGGGCACAAGGUGGGGGGACACCCAGGACAGGGUGCCAACCCAUUGCAGGGCACAAUUGCACACAUUUUUUAGAGAUGCCAAUCGGCCUACAACGCAUGUCCUUGGACUGCGGGAGGAAACCAGAGUACCGGAUGAAACCCCCUGAAGCACGACGAGAACUACGAUGCAGGGCAGAGGCAGGAAUCGAACCUCCAACCCUGGAGGUGCAAGGCAAACAUGAUAACCUAGGGGCAGCAAUUGGCUGCCCUCUCCCCUCCCUGAUGGAUAUUUACACUUCCUGUUGCCUCAGCAGAGGAAAAACUAUCAUUAAGGACAGUUCUCACCCUGGCUUUGAUCUGUUCAAUCUGUUGCCCUCAGGGAGACGUUACAGGUGCAUCAAAACAAGGACUAGUAGAUUUAAGAAUAGUUUCUUCCCGAAAGCUAUUACCAUUAUAAACAAAUACAUGUACUGAGUUCACAGCAUAUGUAUAUAGUGUUUCAAAACUGUGCAUUUCAUAGUACCUCCCCCAUCCGCCGCAAUAUCUUGUUCAUUUAUCUUGUUUAUUUAUGUUUAUUUAUCUGUUUAUUCUUCUUGUUUAUUGAAUGUACGUUUGCACGGAAUAAAA